AGAGUUUGAUCCUGGCUCAGGAUGAACGCUGGCGAGAUGCCUUACACAUGCAAGUCGUACGGGGAUUUUUAAUUCAAGUGGCGGACGGGUGAGUAACACGUAAGAAUUUGCCUUUAGGAGGGGGACAACAACUGGAAACGGUUGCUAAUACCCCAUAUGCUUUCGAGUGAAAUGGAUUUUUCCGCCUAAAGAGAAGCUUGCGGCUGAUUAGCUUGUUGGUGAGGUAAUGGCUCACCAAGGCGACGAUCAGUAUCUGGUUUGAGAGGAUGAUCAGACACACUGGAACUGAGACACGGUCCAGACUCCUACGGGAGGCAGCAGUGGGGAAUUUUCCGCAAUGGGCGAAAGCCUGACGGAGCAAUCUCGCGUGAGGGAUGACGGCCUAUGGGUUGUAAACCUCUUUUUUCAGGGAGGAACAAAAUGACGUGUACCUGAAGAAUAAGCAUCGGCUAACUCCGUGCCAGCAGCCGCGGUAAGACGGAGGAUGCAAGUGUUAUCCGGAAUCACUGGGCGUAAAGCGUCUGUAGGUGGUUUGAUAAGUCAACUGUUAAAUCUUGAAGCUCAACUUCAAAAUCGCAGUCGAAACUAUUAGACUAGAGUAUAGUAGGGGUAAAGGGAAUUUCCAGUGGAGCGGUGAAAUGCGUAGAUAUUGGAAAGAACACCGAUGGCGAAGGCACUUUACUGGGCUAUUACUGACACUCAGAGACGAAAGCUAGGGUAGCAAAUGGGAUUAGAUACCCCAGUAGUCCUAG
rnacentral:rRNA from 1 species